UACGUAGGGUGCAAGCGUUGUCCGGAAUUAUUGGGCGUAAAGAGCUCGUAGGCGGUCUGUCGCGUCGGCUGUGAAAACCCGGGGCUCAACCCCGGGCCUGCAGUCGAUACGGGCGGACUAGAGUGCGGUAGGGGAGACUGGAAUUCCUGGUGUAGCGGUGAAAUGCGCAGAUAUCAGGAGGAACACCGGUGGCGAAGGCGGGUCUCUGGGCCGUAACUGACGCUGAGGAGCGAAAGCGUGGGGAGCGAACAGG
rnacentral:rRNA from 1 species